rfam:Picoides pubescens contig7263, whole genome shotgun sequence.
CCCAGCAGUGGUCAGCUACAUAUUGCUGCUCAGUGCCUGUGAUAGUGUUACACUGCUGGGAGAACAAUGUGCUGCCAAGCUGCUCCUGGCACCAGCAGUGCUGUCUUAGUGCUGCAUGAUGCCAGGUUUUGGCAGCACGCUGCAUGCCUGAGAGUGGAGUAACUCCUGCUUGGUGGAGUUAAUCCUAGAUUGGAUGCAGACAGU